GGGGAAUAUUGCGCAAUGGGGGAAACCCUGACGCAGCAACGCCGCGUGAAGGAUGAAGGUUUUCGGAUUGUAAACUUCUUUGAUGAGGGACGAAUAAUGACGGUACCUCAAAAACAAGCCACGGCUAACUACGUGCCAGCAGCCGCGGUAAUACGUAGGUGGCGAGCGUUGUCCGGAAUUACUGGGUGUAGAGGGCGUGUAGGCGGGGAUGUAAGUCAGAUGUGAAAUUCCAUGGCUCAACUGUGGCGCUGCAUCUGAAACUAUUUUUCUUGAGUGCUGGAGAGGAAAGCGGAAUUCCUAGUGUAGCGGUGAAAUGCGUAGAUAUUAGGAGGAACACCAGUGGCGAAGGCGGCUUUCUGGACGAUAACUGACGCUGAGGCGCGAAAGCGUGGGGAGCAAAC
rnacentral:rRNA from 1 species